rnacentral:rRNA from 1 species
GUGCCAGCAGCCGCGGUAAUACAGAGGGUGCAAGCGUUGUUCGGAAUUACUGGGCGUAAAGCGCGCGCAGGCGGGACGACAAGUGGGGAGUGAAAUUCCGGGGCUCAACUCCGGACCGGCUUUCCAAACUGUCGACCUGGGGACCGGUAGAGGCUGGUAGAAUUCCCGGUGUAGCGGUGGAAUGCGUAGAGAUCGGGAAGAAUACCCGUGGCGAAGGCGGCCAGCUGGGCCGGGUCCGACGCUGAGGCGCGAAAGCGUGGGGAGCAAACAGGAUUAGAAACCCGCGUAGUCC